rnacentral:tRNA from 1 species
GAGGGUUUAGCUCAAUGGAAGAGUGCAUGCCCAGCAUGCAUGGGGUCCUGGGUUCAAUCCUCAGUACCUCCA